rnacentral:rRNA from 1 species
UACGGAGGAUCCGAGCGUUAUCCGGAUUUAUUGGGUUUAAAGGGUGCGUAGGCGGACUCUUAAGUCAGUGGUGAAAGUUUGCAGCUCAACUGUAAAAUUGCCAUUGAAACUGAGAGUCUUGAGUGUAAAUGAGGUAGGCGGAAUGUGUUGUGUAGCGGUGAAAUGCUUAGAUAUAACACAGAACACCAAUUGCGAAGGCAGCUUACUAGGAUACAACUGACGCUGAGGCACGAAAGCGUGGGGAUCAAACAGG